rnacentral:rRNA from 1 species
AACGAACGCUGGCGGCGUGCCUAACACAUGCAAGUCGAACGGGAUUAGGGGCUUGCUCCUAAUCUAGUGGCGCACGGGUGAGUAACGCGUAGAUAAUCUGCCUGAUGAUCUGGGAUAACACUUCGAAAGGAGUGCUAAUACCGGAUAAGCCCACGGGUUCUUUGGAAUCUGCGGGAAAAGGGGGGGACCUUUUGGCCUUCUGUCAUCAGAUGAGCCUGCGUACCAUUAGCUAGUUGGUAGGGUAAUGGCCUACCAAGGCUACGAUGGUUAGCUGGUCUGAGAGGAUGCUCAGCCACACUGGAACUGAGACACGGUCCAGACUCCUACGGGAGGCAGCAGUGGGGAAUUUUGCGCAAGGGGCGAAAGUCUGACGCAGCAACGCCGCGUGAGUGAUGAAGGCUUUCGGGUCGUAAAGCUCUGUCAGGGGGAAAGAAGUGUAUUAUGGCUAAUAUCCAUGAUACUUGACGGUACCCCCAAAGGAAGCACCGGCUAACUCCGUGCCAGCAGCCGCCGUAACAC